rnacentral:rRNA from 3 species
UUAAGUUAUUAAGGGCGCACGGUGGAUGCCUUGGCACUAGAAGCCGAUGAAGGACGUUACUAACGACGAUAUGCUUUGGGGAGCUGUAAGUAAGCUUUGAUCCAGAGAUUUCCGAAUGGGGAAACCCAGCAUGAGUUAUGUCAUGUUAUCGAUAUGUGAAUACAUAGCAUAUCAGAAGGCACACCCGGAGAACUGAAACAUCUUAGUACCCGGAGGAAGAGAAAGAAAAUUCGAUUCCCUUAGUAGCGGCGAGCGAAACGGGAAGAGCCCAAACCAACAAGCUUGCUUGUUGGGGUUGUAGGACACUCUAUACGGAGUUACAAAGGACGACAUUAGACGAAUCAUCUGGAAAGAUGAAUCAAAGAAGGUAAUAAUCCUGUAGUCGAAAAUGUUGUCUCUCUUGAGUGGAUCCUGAGUACGACGGAGCACGUGAAAUUCCGUCGGAAUCUGGGAGGACCAUCUCCUAAGGCUAAAUACUCUCUAGUGACCGAUAGUGAACCAGUACCGUGAGGGAAAGGUGAAAAGCACCCCGGAAGGGGAGUGAAAUAGAACCUGAAACCGUGUGCUUACAAGUAGUCAGAGCCCGUUAAUGGGUGAUGGCGUGCCUUUUGUAGAAUGAACCGGCGAGUUACGAUUUGAUGCAAGGUUAAGCAGUAAAUGUGGAGCCGUAGCGAAAGCGAGUCUGAAUAGGGCGUUUAGUAUUUGGUCGUAGACCCGAAACCAGGUGAUCUACCCUUGGUCAGGUUGAAGUUCAGGUAACACUGAAUGGAGGACCGAACCGACUUACGUUGAAAAGUGAGCGGAUGAACUGAGGGUAGCGGAGAAAUUCCAAUCGAACCUGGAGAUAGCUGGUUCUCUCCGAAAUAGCUUUAGGGCUAGCCUCAAGUGAUGAUUAUUGGAGGUAGAGCACUGUUUGGACGAGGGGCCCCUCUCGGGUUACCGAAUUCAGACAAACUCCGAAUGCCAAUUAAUUUAACUUGGGAGUCAGAACAUGGGUGAUAAGGUCCGUGUUCGAAAGGGAAACAGCCCAGACCACCAGCUAAGGUCCCAAAAUAUAUGUUAAGUGGAAAAGGAUGUGGCGUUGCCCAGACAACUAGGAUGUUGGCUUAGAAGCAGCCAUCAUUUAAAGAGUGCGUAAUAGCUCACUAGUCGAGUGACACUGCGCCGAAAAUGUACCGGGGCUAAACAUAUUACCGAAGCUGUGGAUUGUCCUUUGGACAAUGGUAGGAGAGCGUUCUAAGGGCGUUGAAGCAUGAUCGUAAGGACAUGUGGAGCGCUUAGAAGUGAGAAUGCCGGUGUGAGUAGCGAAAGACGGGUGAGAAUCCCGUCCACCGAUUGACUAAGGUUUCCAGAGGAAGGCUCGUCCGCUCUGGGUUAGUCGGGUCCUAAGCUGAGGCCGACAGGCGUAAGCGAUGGAUAACAGGUUGAUAUUCCUGUACCACCUAUAAUCGUUUUAAUCGAUGGGGGGACGCAGUAGGAUAGGCGAAGCGUGCGAUUGGAUUGCACGUCUAAGCAGUAAGGCUGAGUAUUAGGCAAAUCCGGUACUCGUUAAGGCUGAGCUGUGAUGGGGAGAAGACAUUGUGUCUUCGAGUCGUUGAUUUCACACUGCCGAGAAAAGCCUCUAGAUAGAAAAUAGGUGCCCGUACCGCAAACCGACACAGGUAGUCAAGAUGAGAAUUCUAAGGUGAGCGAGCGAACUCUCGUUAAGGAACUCGGCAAAAUGACCCCGUAACUUCGGGAGAAGGGGUGCUCUUUAGGGUUAACGCCCAGAAGAGCCGCAGUGAAUAGGCCCAAGCGACUGUUUAUCAAAAACACAGGUCUCUGCUAAACCGUAAGGUGAUGUAUAGGGGCUGACGCCUGCCCGGUGCUGGAAGGUUAAGAGGAGUGGUUAGCUUCUGCGAAGCUACGAAUCGAAGCCCCAGUAAACGGCGGCCGUAACUAUAACGGUCCUAAGGUAGCGAAAUUCCUUGUCGGGUAAGUUCCGACCCGCACGAAAGGCGUAACGAUUUGGGCACUGUCUCAACGAGAGACUCGGUGAAAUCAUAGUACCUGUGAAGAUGCAGGUUACCCGCGACAGGACGGAAAGACCCCGUGGAGCUUUACUGUAGCCUGAUAUUGAAAUUCGGCACAGCUUGUACAGGAUAGGUAGGAGCCUUUGAAACGUGAGCGCUAGCUUACGUGGAGGCGCUGGUGGGAUACUACCCUAGCUGUGUUGGCUUUCUAACCCGCACCACUUAUCGUGGUGGGAGACAGUGUCAGGCGGGCAGUUUGACUGGGGCGGUCGCCUCCUAAAAGGUAACGGAGGCGCUCAAAGGUUCCCUCAGAAUGGUUGGAAAUCAUUCAUAGAGUGUAAAGGCAUAAGGGAGCUUGACUGCGAGACCUACAAGUCGAGCAGGGUCGAAAGACGGACUUAGUGAUCCGGUGGUUCCGCAUGGAAGGGCCAUCGCUCAACGGAUAAAAGCUACCCCGGGGAUAACAGGCUUAUCUCCCCCAAGAGUUCACAUCGACGGGGAGGUUUGGCACCUCGAUGUCGGCUCAUCGCAUCCUGGGGCUGUAGUCGGUCCCAAGGGUUGGGCUGUUCGCCCAUUAAAGCGGUACGCGAGCUGGGUUCAGAACGUCGUGAGACAGUUCGGUCCCUAUCCGUCGUGGGCGUAGGAAAUUUGAGAGGAGCUGUCCUUAGUACGAGAGGACCGGGAUGGACAUACCUCUGGUGUACCAGUUGUCGUGCCAACGGCAUAGCUGGGUAGCUAUGUGUGGACGGGAUAAGUGCUGAAAGCAUCUAAGCAUGAAGCCCCCCUCAAGAUGAGAUUUCCCAACUUCGGUUAUAAGAUCCCUCAAAGAUGAUGAGGUUAAUAGGUUCGAGGUGGAAGCAUGGUGACAUGUGGAGCUGACGAAUACUAAUCGAUCGAAGACUUAAUCAA